ACAUCAAUGAAUGCAUCAAAACACCGUGUCUACAUGGACGUUGUGUGAACCAAGACGGCGGAUACAAAUGUACCUGCUUGCCUGGAUGGACUGGGAUAAACUGUCAGCAAGACAUAAAUAAAUGUGCCAGUAAACCAUGCCGACAUGGGCACUGUUUGAAUAAAGAUGGCGGAUACAGAUGUUACUGCUUCGCUGGAUGGACGGGACGGAAUUGUCAGCAAGACAUGGAUGAGUGCAUUAGAAAGCCAUGCCCACAUGGAAGCUGCGCGAACCAAAACGGCGGAUACAAAUGUACCUGCUCACCUGGAUGGACUGGAGAGAACUGUC